AGUGGGAGCCAGGCUGGAGUCCGCUGGUGGAAGACAGGACACAGGCUGGAAAGGAAAACCCAACACGAUGACUGCCCCUCGCAGGCCACAGUCAGCCCGGCCCCAGGAGAGAGACCCGUGGAGCCCUAUGUCUCAGCAGGCAAGACCACCCUGGCCUGCCAUGCCUCCAUCCUAUGCCUAUAAAAACCCAAGACCCUAGCAAGGCAGAGACAGAAGCCUCUGUGUGGGGAGAGGAACACACUGGUGGAAGAAGACAAGCUGCUGGACAUCCCGAGAAUGUUGCCUGACUCCAGGGGAAAACCAUCUCCCCUCUGGCUCCCCCAUCUGCUGAGAGCUACUUCCACUCAAUAAAACCUUGCACUCAUUCUCCAAGCCCACGUGUGAUCCAAUUUUUUGGUACACCAAGGCAAGAAACCCUGGGAUACAGAAAUUCCUCUGUCCUUGUUAUAAGGCAGGGGUCUAAUUGAGCUCACUCUCACCAGCCACCUACAGACCGCUAGACUAAAAGACCACCCGGUAACGCACUCCCACUGGGGUUUCAAGAGCUGUAAACAUUCACCCCCAGACACUGCCAUGGGGUCAGAGCCCCACAGCCUGCCCGUCUGUAUGCUCCCCUAGAGGUGUGAGCGGUGGGGCACUGAAGAAGCGAGCCACUCCCCCGCUGCAUGCCCUGCGCCCUGCGCGGGGUAACCAGGGAACCCUUCCUGUUUCACUGUUUCACUGGGUAGAGAUCUCCCGGCUGGAGACAGAAUGGUGGGGAGAGGCCAGAUGUGCCCAGCAGCAGAUCCUGAGCCAGAGAAGGCCAUCAAUUAUUCAGCUCCUGCCUCUCAGCCUCCUCCGUUAGUACCUCUUAAAGCCGGGAAGAUAAAUCUCUCCGCUUGCUCCGUGGCGCCGACAGGAAGCAGGGCGGCACCAGGACCGUGACAGGCCCCGGCUGGGCCCCGGUUUCCCGAGCCAGCACAGGCGGCCUGCAAGGCUUCUCUGCUAUUAAAUCCAUAAUUCAGCGGCAACGCAGCUGGGGCCUGGCACACAGGGUCCCUGUGAUGAGGAGGGGCUGCCCCUGCCGGAAUGCACCAGAGGCUGCCACCAGGGAGAGAGUUACAAGGACCACUUCCGUGGACCUGGCAGGUCCUAGGGCCCCCUUUAAAAUUGUGCCUGGGGAGAGUCCCUGGCGCUGCUCCGGAGGAUCAUGGAGCCCGACUCUACUCACAGGGGAGACCACACAGCUUCUGCGGGGCAAGACAGCUGAGGAGCAUGUCAGGACAGUGCCAUCUGCCACCAAGGCAGCUCCAGAGAGUGGGACAGCUGUGAGAGGCGGGACCUGUCCAGGCUCCCUGAUGGGCACUCACAGCCCCCUUCACCCUCAGCGAGGCACUUGCCCCAAUGAAAACUGAGCAGUUGGACAAUCUGAUGUCUUGGAGGGUCCAGGUCAGCCCCCCACCCCAAUGCCCAGCCCUGCAUAACCAAGGAAGCGUUUGUUGAAUGGCUGAGUCCCACCCCUGCUCCAACCUUGGCAGGCCUUGGAGUGUCCCCGGCAGGAAGUGGAGGGUGAACACAGGGGGACAAAGUAACAGGGCAGCAGAGCUGGGGUGGGGCCAGGCUGGGCAGACUGGGGAAUGAGACCUACUCAGAACACCGCCCUCGGCAGAGCCACCCACCCCUAUCCUUGCAAACCCUCUGCCCCAGGGCCCACUCUAAACCCAUGAGAGCUGUGGCAGGACAGGGUGACUCCAGGCCUGGCCAGGAGGCUCCGGCUGACUCCGCCCCCUUCUCCUUCCCCUCCCCACUUCCCAUUCCACAGGCCUCCACAGGGCAGGGGCCGUGACAGGGGUGACAGAAGUUCGGAGAGGUCACUGAGUCCCUGCAAUUAGCAGUAAUGAGUUGACACAUGCCACAGGUCAAGUGCUAAUGCAGGCUGAUAAUUAACUCAACCUGCUAGGAAGCGGUGCAGCCCCUCCUCCCUCUGAUCAAUUAUCCUCAGGAUGUUGAACAGCCCCGCCCCAGGGCUAAUGGGGUCACAUUCCAACCAUAAUGACGUGGCUGCUGCACCAGAAACACUGGGCUGGUGCCGGGAACACCCCCAUCCCAGACUGGAGACCUCCCCCAGCCCCUCCAGAUGAGGGUCCUGCCCUGCUCACUGGCUCCUGCCCCAACCCUGCUCCUGGGGCCUUCCUGACUCGCCACCUUGCACUUCCCAGGGACAGUACACCCAGCAGCCUGUCCCAGCCUAUGUCUCAGCAGACCAGGCUCUGCGAGACACCCCCUCCAGCCUCCACCUCCCAGCACUGCCUCCAGAACAGGGGCCAUUCAGACUCGUGGCUUGCUGUCCUCUGCCCUGCAUCUCAGGCUGCUCCCAGCCCAUGUCCAGUUUUGGGUGCUAGCCACAGUGCUACACUGACCAUCUGGUACCUGCUUCUGCCACAGCUUCGGGGCCCUCCUGGGGCCAGCCAGCCCUGGACAAAGCAGACCCGACCCCUCCCUCCCUCUGGGCCUUGACCUCUGUUUCUGUUGCCAGCUGUGGUACCUGAGCCAGCAGCAACCCAAACAGGGAAGCAAGAAACUCUGUAGCUGCUUCUGUGCCUCUUUCUUCUUGGGGACAAGCCAAGCCUGUGUCUCCAUCUCACUCAAUCGUCGGGUCUGUGCCCAAGGUCAGGGCCAUCGUGCUCCAUCCAUGGGCCGGCCUUGUCUUAGAGGCCGAGGGGCCUGGCCCCAUCUGUGCCUGGCUUGGUAACAGUUCUGCAGUGUCCCAGGAAUAUUCCCUUGCCCAUCUCAGGACAGGAGCUCACUCUGAGGGCCUGCCCCUCUUUGGGAACUACCCCCUCUGGCAGCUGGGGGUGAGCAUGCUAGGUCUCAGUGAGCACAUCUCUCAGGUCCCUGACCCCUGGGCACCCCCGUAGGCUUCUUGUAUUGCCGGGGGGCAGGAAUGGGCCCCUCCUGCAUGCUGCCCCCACAUGGUAGGGCCCAGACCUCCGUCUCCCCUGCAGUCCCACAGCCCCUGCCAAGGGCAUCUGCGACUGGAAACUCCACCGCGGUGAUCCUGAGCUGCUGGGAAGAUGGGUUUUGAUGGUACCGCUGCUCAGAGGGCAAGGGGCACCAGUGCCAGCCACCACAUCAGGCACCAUCUGCUGGUGCAGGAGGCCGGUGAGGGAGCCGAGGGGACACUCAGUUCAGAACGUCCUCUGCCCUGUGGCAGCGAGAUUGUUGCGGCUUCACAGCAAGCAAAUGCACGUUCCAUGGGCUUAAUUCUAUCAAUCCCCAAAGACCUGAUGGCCCCUGCGUGCGGGGUGUCGCGCUUCAGUGCACACGGGGGGCCUUAAGCAGCGAGGUCCACACAGACCCCAGGAGUGGCCAGGAACCCUCUAGGGUCUGUGGCACUCAGGCCAGAGGCUGGGAAUUCAGAGCCUUAUGACCAAGGGGCCCAGGAAGUCCUUGAGAAGAAUCACCUCUGAAACAUUCUGGGAGCGCCUCCCAGGCAGCCGGCACUACACGGGGCACCUACACGCGUUUCCUUGCUAACUGACCAUCCCAUUGUAUGGGUGACAAAACUGAGGUUCUAAGAUGAGCAGAGGCUCAGCCCUCAUCUCACAUGAGGCAGAGCUGGGAUUCCCACCCAGGACCAUCCAGGUUAGAGCCCACCCAGCUGUCUCCAGUAGGUGCAGACGCAGGUGGGGCUCAGAAGCUGGCAGACAGGCUGGGGCACCCAGCCCCCUCCCUGGUGGUUGCUGUCCUCUCCACACGGGCCAUGGCGAAGCUCUCAAAAGCAAACGCUGGGCCGUGCCCCAGCCCCUGGGUCUUCAGCAGUUGCUCCCGUCUCUCAAAAACUAGUUCUCACCUCCAGUGAUCAGAAGCUGGGACCACAAAGGUUUCAUCCCAUGCGGGCCACCGAGCAGGCUGUGGCUCUCUGGGCACAGGAGGGAGGUCAGCUGUCAGCCAGUCCCAUCCAGCCCCUGCCCAGGUGUAUGGCCUCCUCCCCUCCGUCUGCUACCUCACCCCUGCUCCUGGUGCUGAAGCACAUAACCCAGUGCCAAAAUGUGCCUCCCCCGAAAAGCCACCCCUUACACCUGCCCACCAUCAUCAGUCACAGCUGCAAGAGUUUUCCAAUGUCCCCAGCUCACCCUGCCACUCUCUCCCCCAGCCCCCCAGCAGGCCCCCAUCCACCCCCAGUCCUCAGCCCUGACUUGAAUUUCUGCGUUCUGUGCUUUGCACGUCUGUGCCACCAAGUCACUGAGGCCAGGGGCAGGUCUUAUUUGCAGCCUUGAGGCUAUUGAGAAAAGUUUAGGCAGAAAGGGAGGAAGGAAGGGAGGGAGGGAGGGAGGGAAGAGGGAAGGAAGGAAGGAAGGAAGGAAGGAAGGAAGGAAGGAAGGGUAGGGAGGGAGAGAGGGAGGGACACAGGGUGUCCUCUUAUUUUUUACUUUUUUUUUUUUUUUGAGACAGAGUCUCACUCUGUUGCCCAGGCUGGAGUGCGAUGGCAUGAUCUCGGCUCCCUGCAAUCUCCACCUCCCAGGUUCAAGCAAUUCUCCUACCUCAGCCUCCUGAGUAGCUGGGAUCACAGGCACACACCACCAUGCCCGGCUAAUUUUUGUAUUUUUAGUAGAGACGGGGUUUCACCAUGUUGGCCAGGCUGGUCUCCAACUCCUGACCUCAAGUGAUCAGCCUGCCUCGGGCUCCUAAAGUGCUGGGAUUACAGGCGUGAGCCACCGCGCCCGGCCAUAGGGCAUCCUCUUAAUUAGAGUGUGAGGCCUGCGGAUAUGGGCUGGGGAAUAAGUUGAUGCUGACAGAAAAUAACUUAAACCAUUGAAAGGAACAGGAAGUAAACAGAAGCAAAUAUUUACCGAAUCCCUGGUGAGAAGGAACUUUCCAAGAAUAAAGGGAAGGAUGAGUUCACUUUGACUGUGUGGAAGCUAAAUUCUCAGGUGGCUCAAAGGAAAACAUCAAGCUAAAAGACAAGAAAUGAGGCGGGUAAAUUUUUGACACUAACAUGACAAAAAAUUAAUAGCAUUAACACGGCAGGAACUUAUCUGAAGCAGCAACACCAAGGGCAAUGUGAGUGAACUGCAGACAAGGCAACCCGGACGCCAUGGGACACGCCACAGAGCAGGCUGCCUUGUCCCCACUCUGCCUACAUGUGAGACCCACCAGACUCACAGUGAACACAUCCCAGCCCCUCCGGCCGGGCACCACGGAAGGCCCUCCCUCCUCCACUGAGGGCAGGGAUCACAGGGCCAGGUUUUUGUCAUCGGACAAGGGGUGUCCCAAGUCAUGAGAUGCUUAACCCAUGAAUGCCCCCUCUUGGAGUCUAUGCUAAUUAAACACGUAGAGGGGCGGACUUCACUCUGCCAGCUCAGAUAAUGACCACAGCAUAUUUAUAACCACAAAGAGGUGGAAACAGCUACACUAUCCAACAGUGGGGAAAUGUUUAAGUCAAUGCUGGGAGAGUAACACCAUGGACCAGCCCCGAAGAGACAUCUGUGGUGAGUGAAAUGCACGCCAUACAAGCCCAGAGAGACUGUGAACUUGGAAGAAAGAAUAGGUGCACACAAUAAGACUGGGAGGAAAUGAACAAACUAUCAUCGGCCAUGAGGUUCUCCUUUACUUACAAUAAGUAUAUGCAGCACAGACAUGAGAAAGGCAUUCCUGGAGUGUGAAGCCCAGGGCAAGAGGAUGCGGGUGUCCUGAGCAAGCAAUAAUGCCAGCACCUUCUGCAAGGAGCUCUGCUGGGCCACCUCUUGGGCAACAAACCAUCCUGGGACAUCUUGCAGACAAGGAAACAGGCUUCAGGAGGCAAUGGUGCCUCUUGAAGGGCAGGGCACACAGCCACAGGGCCACCUUCUGCAUGGCUCCCACCGCAGCUGAGUCUCCAAGGAAGCUGGGUUUUUACAGGGGCAGGUCCUCAAGGUGGAUACCCCUUUGCUAAAGGCUCUGCCCCAGCAACCCACAAGCAGCCACUUGCCCUGGGCUCCAGGCGGCUGCCCUCCCCUUGCUGUCCUCUGGACUGUUUAGUAUGCAGAAGGACCAGCCCUGCAAGGCCACCAUAAAUCCUGCCCCUGUCCUACAGCAGAUCAAUUGCCAAUCGGCUCCAAAUCCCCUAGAUGUCUCAGCAGCUUGGCCCAGCUGUAGGAGCCACGGCCAUGGUUGGCUCUAGAUGCUGCUGGCUAUAUAUAUUGAACUUGAAGCAUCGGAUUACAUGUUUGUUCAAUAGCAAUAAACUCCCAAAGUUUUAUGGGGUCAUAAAACCGCUGUCUCGGCUCCCACUUAGGUGGUAUGUAAUGUACACAGGCUGGUUUCCCCGCUAAUGGGGCGGUGCAAGUGAUUUGGGGCUAUUAGCUGGAAACAUCACAUCUGCAUUUCCCAAAUUCUCAUAAAUAAGGUGGCCCCACCAGAGUGCACC
rnacentral:lncRNA from 1 species